UGGUGUUACAGCUCUUUUAGAAUUUGUCUAGCACGUUUUCUGGUUGUUGUUUUUUUAAGCCCUC